rnacentral:tRNA from 1 species
GGGGUUGUGGCUUAGUGGUAGAGCGCACGCCUUGCACGUGCGAGACCCUGGGUUCGAUCCUCAGUACCCUG